AAGACUAUACGUUCAAGGAUCAUUCCUGUCGCAUGUCACUAGGGAAGUGUUUCCGGAUGUGUCGAAUACUGGAAACAAGGACGAUGAGCUACAGUGUUCUCUCCUGAGCACCAGGCUGGCCGGAGGUGUGCUCUCCAGGAAGCUGUUGCUUCUCCUCAUGAUUGUUUUCCUUUUCCUUUGGGAAAGUGAGAGGAAGAGAACAUAGGCUGGGGUGG